rnacentral:rRNA from 1 species
AUUGAACGCUGGCGGCAGGCCUAACACAUGCAAGUCGAGCGGAUGAAGGGAGCUUGCUCCUGGAUUCAGCGGCGGACGGGUGAGUAAUGCCUAGGAAUCUGCCUGGUAGUGGGGGAUAACGUCCGGAAACGGGCGCUAAUACCGCAUACGUCCUGAGGGAGAAAGUGGGGGAUCUUCGGACCUCACGCUAUCAUAUGAGCCUAGGUCGGAUUAGCUAGUUGGUGGGGUAAAGGCCUACCAAGGCGACGAUCCGUAACUGGUCUGAGAGGAGGAUCAGUCACACGGGAACUGGAACACGGUCCAGAGUCCUAAGGGAGGCAGCAGUGGGGAAUAUUGGACAAUGGGCGAAAGCAUGAUCCAGCCAUGCCGCGUGUGUGAAGAAGGUCUUCGGAUUGUAAAGCACUUUAAGUUGGGAGGAAGGGCAGUAAGUUAAUACCUUGCUGUUUUGACGUUACCAACAGAAGAAGCACCGGCUAACUUCGUG